AUGAAAAACAAGAAAGUAGAGCCGAAGACUAUAAUGUCCCAGCCAUUAUACAGAAGCCUAAUUCACUUCAACAAGAUGGAAGACAGGGGAAUGACACUAGGAGUUACAGUAAAGUAGUUGCAAGUUCAUCGAGAAAUUUUCAAAAUAGGAACCCUCCACAGAAUAAACAUAGAUCUUGUACGGAUAGAUGUAAACCGACCAUAGACAGAAAUCAUGAUAUAACUACCUAUAAUCGUUUCCAAAUAUUGGAACAUAGCAACACCUCCCCCAAAUCUUCUCCUUUUCGCAAAAGCCCAGUACAACCCAGAUACAAACAACUUCAAGAAUCACGGGAAUGGGACUCGCCGGGCAAAAGGAGGAGAUCGUGGGAAGAGGGAGAAAUAGAAGACGAAAGAAAUUACAACAGAGAGAAACGAGGACGGAUGUAGAUAAUAAAGGUAUAUUCAACCUUUCAGAUAAAGAAUUAGGUCAAGAUGAACUUACUUUUCUAAAAAAAGGUUUGAAGUUUGCUCCGUCUGCAGAUUUUAAACCAUUUGAAUUUUUUAUAGAUCUUAACCGCUUCACCAGACAGUUAUGUUUGAAAAAAAUUUUUUAUAAUAGAGAAUUAGUAGAAACCAAUAAGACUUCCCCGUAUAUCCAUAGUAAUCUUAAAGAAAAAUCAAAAUUCUUUCCAAGGAAUAUGAUCUCAAGCGAAAUCAAAACCUUUGAGACCAUGAUUAUGAAAGAAGUUAAAAAAAUUAAACAUACAAAUAAAUAUCAAAAAAAUCUCACGCAAGCAGAAUUAACAAUUUUAAAGAAGUUACAAAAGGAUGACAACUUAAUUAUAAAACCAGCAGACAAGGGGGGAGGGGUGGUAAUUCUAUCUAAAGAAAAAUAUGUAGGAGAAGCAGAAAGACUUCUGUCGGAUGUAAAAACAUAUAAAAAAUUAACAUCCAACCCUAGUCAAGAAAUUACAAUUAAGUUUAAAGAAUAUAUUGAUAAAGGAUUAGAAAACAAUAUUUUAACAGAGACAGAAGCCAAAUACUUAAUUAUUUUAAAUCCCCAAAUUCCAGUGUUUUAUUGUUUGCCAAAAAUGCACAAACAUUUAACCAACCCACCAGGUAGACCUAUAAUUUCGGGGGUAGAGAGCAUCUCAUUGAGAGUCUCGGAAUAUAUUGAUGUCCUACUUCAACCGGUGGUAAUUAAGAAUCCAACGUAUUUGAAAGAUACGAUACACAUUUUGCAAAUUUUAGGAGAUAUCAAAUGGGAAGAGAAUUAUAUAUUGGUCACUUGUGAUGUAAGUUCUCUUUAUAGCAACAUUCCACACAUAAAGGGAAUAGAGGCGGUGCAAUAUUUUUUAGAAAAAUCGAAUUUUAAACAAGAACAGGUUAAUUUUAUUAAAGAAGGUAUGUCUUUAAUUCUGACCAAUAAUUUUUUUUGGUUUAAAGACAGUUUUUAUUUGCAAAUCAAUGGAACGGCGAUGGGGACCAAGUUCGCACCAAGUUACGCAAAUCUCUUCAUGGCGUAUUGGGAAGAAACAUUUAUUUUACAUAGUGAAUUUUUUGCGGACUUGGUCACCUAUCGCCGUUACAUUGAUGAUAUAUUUUUUAUUUGGAAGGGAAAUGAUUUAAAAUUGAGUAAUUUUUUAAGUUUUUUAAAUAGC